AGGAGGCUGCGGGCUCUGCCGGACCGGGGCGGGCGGACGCGGGGAGCACGGGGGCACCCGGAUCCGGCCCACUGGUGCGGGACGGGGGCGAAGGGCUGCACAGGACUCCUCCUCCGCCGCCGGGGGCCGCUCCCCUCUGGCCGGGUGCGGAGUCGCGGCGGGGCCGGGACAAGGGGUGGGCGGGGCUGAAGCAGCCUGGCCUUGUUCCUGGUGCUGUCCUUAGGAUGCGGGCAGAGAAGCAGGGGCGACACAGGGGAUGCACGGGGGUGCACCCCCGAGAGCACCGGGGCACCCCUGUCAUGCUGCGCUCCCUGUGUAGCCGGUGGGCAGGGUAGCGGGCGGGAGCACCAGUGCCCCUCCUGCGAGCGCUGGCCGGGGAGCGGGGCUGCCAGCUCCAAUGGCCGCGCUGCUUCUGGAAGUGGUCACCAAGUUCCCGAAGCAGCGUGGCUGCUUUUAUGGUGAGUGAGAUCGGGGCCCCGCAGGCAGCAGGAUUGGCCACCGGGGGACCCCCCCCCCAACAAGUGGGAUCGACACCAGUCCCAGUUCACACAUUGCACCAGGUCUGAGAAGCAGAACCACAAAGCUAUUUGUCACAGGAAAGUUUCUACCUGGGUGUCAGUUGGACACUGGACAUACAUUGGUGCAGUGCCACAGCUCAGCGCUGUUUCAGCAGGUCUGCGCCCCAGCAAUGUGAGUCUGUCCUCUGUCCUUGGGUGCCCGCAGCCCAUCGCUCGCAUAGGAAAAACCAGUGGGACGCACGUCCUGCGCCAUGGCGCUUGCUAGCAAGAGACGCCUCGUGGCAAAAAGGCUUUUGCCUGAAGCUGCCUUGGGUCAGAGCGCAGUAACGUCUGAUGAGAUUUUCCUCUUUUGAAAGGAGACAACUAGGUAGAGAGCAGCUUUGGCCAGACUUCGCAGGGAUGAAUCUACCCUGGAAACACGAGGGUUAUUAUCAGCAUGUACACCUGCGUUCAUGUGGAAGGGCUGCUUCCACUUCCGUGUGUGGCCACAAAGAGUCGUUUGAGAGCAGCAAUAUUGCUUGGUUAGACGGGACGAUGGGCGCGACUAGCAAUGACAGGAGCAGAGCUUCACCAAGCCUUCCCAACCAAGUGUGCAAAAUGUUCUUGCUUUGGGAUUGCAUUACAAGCUGAAAACACAGACCCCACAGCUCAGCAGGUUUCUUCACUGGACAAAGGUUCUUCUUCAGCUCUUUAUGGAGAUCAAAAUUACAGAUCAGGUUGAGUUUGGACCAUCUCAGGUCCAGACUCCCCAGCCUCUGCUUCCCAGAGCAUGUCCUACUCGCACUUCCCAACCCCACCGACACCCAGUUCAGAAAGGACUUUGCGAUGGUGGGACUGCUAGGUCAGCUAUCUUAUCAUGAAUAAUCCUAAGUAUUCAUCGUCAUUUCGUAAUGUGCUAUGCAAACCUGUGGCAUUCUCUGUGACACCCCUGCCACAAUGUCUUAGGACUGGACAAUGCUAAAAUGAUGACAACUCCAAAAACCCAUUCAUGAAACUUGGUAGAAAGGUUGUUCCUGGGAGGGAAAACUGUGGUGUGAGGGCUUGCAGGUGAGACUCUGCUCUUCUAUUCUCUAGUUACCGGUUCUUUACUGGACAUGGCACAUGGCAGAAACAGGACGUGGGACUUGUUUUUCCCCAGAACAAAUGAAAGAAUUGAAGCUACAUGAACCCAUGCUUAAAUCGAGUCAUUGAUGAGCAAGAUUGGGGGAGUUAAGGCAACUUAGCCAAACGCUUACUGCCAGAAGCCGUGCUAGCGCUCUUCUGGAGCAUCUCAUAGCAAUGCACUGCCGAGAGCUAAAGGGGAUCAGGGGGAUCGACAAGGGGGAAUCCAAUAUAUAUAUACAAACACACACACGUAUACACACUUAAUUACAAAGGCUAGGGAAAUACAUACAUAUGUACGUAUAUAUACAUACACAAACACACACACGUAUCAUAUAUAUAGAUGCUUAAGCUGACCACAUGCUCUGAAUCCUGACUGAGGUUUUGCUGUACAGAAAAAAGCCACACUUACUUCGCGAGAACUGUUCUGGCAUCUCCUGAGCCAAACCAGCUCUCCUUGUUUCCAUGCCUAAAUAUCAAAAUGGAUAUUUCAGAUGGCUAUUAAAAAAACGCAGAGGGAUAGUGAUAGCCUGGGUUGUUAGAAAUACAUGCAUAUCAUUUAGCUUCUUAAGUAUGCCUUCUUCAAUGCUAACUGACAUCGUUUCCUGCAAUGUCCCACCAAUAAAGGCCUUUACAGCUUCCUCCACAGCUCUUGGCUCUUACCUGCAGAGGAGCACUUCCAGGACCUCGCCUGGAGAAGCCAAGGCCCUGUAUCCACAGAAAAAGUUGUCUAUAUUUAUAAAAUCCUGCAGCAGGUUCAAUGCAGUCUUCAACGGCCUGUGAAACAAAAGAUCAAAAUCAUGGCAUUACGAGUUGGCAGCGGCCCUCCUCCGAACCAGCACGAACCCCACGUCCACCCAGCGCUGGAGCGGGGAGGUCUCGUAUCAGCAGUACCUGUCGGUGGAGGAGAUAGAAAACUAAGUCUUGGCCAGAUGGGAUCAAACAUGGUUUGUGAAGGAAGAGUGUUAAUCCCACGAGUCCAGGCGCAUCCCAGAGGUCUCCAUAUAUUUUGUCGGGGGGGAGGCUACGGUGAAUUUUGGGGUGACUGCAGCCCCCCAUCACCAGAGGCUCACUGGGGCCUUGCUCUGCCCCCUCCCAUGGCCCGGUCCCCUUCCUCCACACACUUACCUGCUGCCAAUCGUGUAAGAGUGAAUUUAACUGUCAGACAAUGAUUUUGGGGUUAUAAAAAGGGUCAUCACAUAAGAGCGAAUUUGCAUAAACUGAACCUGCAUAAAGCAAGGGAAACCUGUGCUAUUUUUCUGUAGACAAAAAAUGAGUAAAAGAUAAGCAUGCCUUGAAUCUAAUGCGGACAGGUUUGAACCUCAAAACCCUGAGGACCGCUGCUCUGGAUCUUGCAAAAUUUUCAACAUUCAAAAAACCUGAAUUUGUGUUGGAUGAUCAAAGUUCAAUCUGUAUUUUUCUAAAAUAGUUUGGAAAAGUCUGCGACAUGAGCAAAACCUGUGUUAACACCUGAAACAGGUUCAUCACCGUCCAAGCCUGCUGCUUCCAUGUACAUAACCCCGGACCUGGAAAAUUAUUUCCUAUCAGAAAGGAGGAUCUGUGCUAAGCUGUGCACCUGAACCUGUACCGCAGGAGGACGUCUCGAGAUCACCGCUAGUAGUGGUCUCUCGCAGAAGUCCUCUGCACGGCAGGCACCAAAGAGGUGGGUGCUUUGAAUCUAUGGUGUUGGCUCUGCAGCAAAAUGCCAAUGAGUUGUGACCACAGGAAGCACCCCAUUUUGCAGCCAAACUUGGAGCUAUGGAAACGAAUGCCAAAAGUCUCUGUUAAGAAAGAAAGCAUCCUUGGCAGCUGCCUACUCAGUAAUGAUCAAGCUCAGCACUUUGCAUUCAAAAUGGGGUUGAAAACCUCCUCUGCAGGAUGUCUCCAAAUACCACCGGUUUGUGACCACUGACACAGACAGGACCGUCGUGGGGGACGGCCAAAUUCUGGAUGGGUAAAGACAGCCACCCUGGGACUAGCUCAAUUUGCCAGUUGGUUGUGAUCUUUAAAGAUGAAUUGGUUUUCUUAGCAGUGAGGCUACAAAUGGGCAUUGUUCGUUUGGAAAGGGUUCUUCAAAAGGCAGGAUAGAUCUAGGAUUUUUAAAUGGAGAGGUGCCAGAUUGGGCCCUUGGGCUCCAGACAGGGGUACAAGGCAGAAGUUUUGCGCCUGAGGCAGAGAAGGGCGGGUUGGUUGUGCGUGGAGGGGGCCGAGUGUUGGAGGGUCUUACCUGCUCUUGGCGCCUGCUGCUCCUCCUGGAGCUGGCUCCCUGCUCCAGGCCUUCCUCCUGCUGCUGCUCACGUGCAGCCUGCCCAGGGCCUGAGGCUGCUCCUGGAGCGAGCUCCUCAUGCCCUUCCUGCCUGCUGGCUUGGAGCCUCGACUCCCGAGUGCGGCAGCACUUGAGGAAGGAUGGCAGAGGGCUACAUCCGCACCCUUCCUCCUGAUCUGCCCUGUCAACGAGUUCAAAAGCUGGUUAAUUCUCAGUUACUACUUCUAGGGUGCAAGGAGCCAAGGUGAUUGGCUGGUAGGCACAUCUCUUCCUUUCAAAAUAAAAGAAAUAUAAAUCAGAGAGACGCAAAGAGAAAAAUA